UACGGAGGGGGCUAGCGUUGUUCGGAAUUACUGGGCGUAAAGGGCUCGUAGGCGGCCAACUAAGUCAGACGUGAAAUCCCUCGGCUUAACCGGGGAACUGCAUCUGAUACUGGAUGGCUUGAGUUCGGGAGAGGGAUGCGGAAUUCCAGGUGUAGCGGUGAAAUGCGUAGAUAUCUGGAGGAACACCGGUGGCGAAGGCGGCAUCCUGGACCGGUAUUGACGCUGAGGCGCGAAAGCCAGGGGAGCAAAGCAGGAUUAAGAAACCC
rnacentral:rRNA from 1 species